GCCUGGGUGGCUCAGUUGGUUAAGUGUCUGACUUCAGCUCAGGUCAUGAUCUCACGGUCCGUGGGUUCCAGCCCGCCUCAGGCU
rnacentral:tRNA from 1 species